GAUGAACGCUGGCGGCGUGCCUAAUACAUGCAAGUCGAGCGAACAGACGAGGCGCUUGCUCCUCUGACGUUAGCGGCGGACGGGUGAGUAACACGUGUAUAACCUACCUAUAAGACUGGGAUAACUUCGGGAAACCGGAGCUUAUACCGGAUAAUAUAUUGAACCGCAUGGUUCAAUAGUGAAAGACGGUUUUGCUGUCACUUAUAGAUGGAUCCGCGCCGCAUUAGCUAGUUGGUAAGGUAACGGCUUACCAAGGCAACUAUGCGUAGCCGACCUGAGAGGGUGAUCGGCCACACUGGAACUGAGACACGGUCCAGACUCCUACGGGAGGCAGCAGUAGGGAAUCUUCCGCAAUGGGCGAAAGCAUGACGGAGCAACGCCGCGUGAGUGAUGAAGGUCUUCGGAUCGUAAAACUCUGUUAUUAGGGAAGAACAAAUGUGUAAGUAACUAUGCACGUCUUGACGGUACCUAAUCAGAAAGCCACGGCUAACUACGUG
rnacentral:rRNA from 1 species